AGUGAACGCUGGCGGUAGGCCUAACACAUGCAAGUCGAACGGCAGCACAGUAAGAGCUUGCUCUUACGGGUGGCGAGUGGCGGACGGGUGAGGAAUACAUCGGAAUCUACUUUUUCGUGGGGGAUAACGUAGGGAAACUUACGCUAAUACCGCAUACGACCUACGGGUGAAAGCAGGGGAUCUUCGAACCUUACGCGAUUGAAUGAGCCGAUGUCGGAUUAGCUAGUUGGCGGGGUAAAGGCCCACCAAGGCGACGAUCCGUAGCUGGUCUGAGAGGAUGAUCAGCCACACUGGAACUGAGACACGGUCCAGACUCCUACGGGAGGCAGCAGUGGGGAAUAUUGGACAAUGGGCGCAAGCCUGAUCCAGCCAUACCGCGUGGGUGAAGAAGGCCUUCGGGUUGUAAAGCCCUUUUGUUGGGAAAGAAAAGCAGCAGGUUAAUACCCCGCUGUUCUGACGGUACCCAAAGAAUAAGCACCGGCUAACUUCGUG
rnacentral:rRNA from 1 species